GUUGGAGGAUUGUCUACAACUUGGUGCCCUGACUGAUACAACAUACAUUUACGAAUGGAGAGGAGCCCAGAGCAGAUUCAUCUUACACAGUGUCAGGUUGUCCAUUUGAAAAUGGGGUAAGAAGAGAAAGAGACAGAAAGAUGAAUUUGGAAGCUAUUGAACUAGUGUAAGUGGGAAAUUCAGAAGGCUUUUUGGCUGGCUAAGGU